AGAGUUUGAUUCUGGCUCAGGAUUAACGCUGGCGGCGUGCCUAACACAUGCAAGUCGAACGAAAUAUCUUCGGAUAUUUAGUGGCGAGCGGGUGAGUAAUGUACAGGUAAUGUACCUUCGUACUGCGAAUAACAAGCUGAAAAGUUUGCUAAUACGGAAUAGUUUCAUUAGGGGGCAUCCUUUGAUGAAUAAAGAUUUAUCGUGCGGAGAUCAGCCUGUAUCCUAUUAGUUAGUUGGUGGGGUAAUGGCCUACCAAGACGACGAUGGGUAACUGGUCUGAGAGGAUGAGCAGUCACAUUGGAACUGAGAUACGGUCCAAACUCCUACGGGAGGCAGCAGUGAGGAAUUUUGCGCAAUGGGGGAAGCCCUGACGCAGCAACGCCGUGUGAGUGAAGACGGCCUUCGGGUUGUAAAGCUCUGUCGUGUAUGACGAGUAGGGACGGUAAUACACAAGGAAGCCUCGGCUAACUACGUGCCAGCCGCCGC
rnacentral:rRNA from 1 species